rnacentral:rRNA from 1 species
UACGGAGGGUGCGAGCGUUGUCCGGAAUCAUUGGGCGUAAAGGGCGCGUAGGUGGCCCGGUCAGUCUUUGGUGAAAGCGCGGGGCUCAACCCUGCGUCGGCCAGGGAUACUGCCGCGGCUCGAGCACUGUAGAGGCAGGCGGAAUUCCGGGUGUAGCGGUGGAAUGCGUAGAGAUCCGGAAGAACACCGGUGGCGAAGGCGGCCUGCUGGGCAGUGCUGACGCUGAGGCGCGACAGC